GCAAUGUCCUGCAUUUGAGCUGCAUUAACAAAACCUCAGUUACCAUUUUAUCUUUUAGGGUAAAUUGCACUGAUACCUUGAGGUUUUGGUCCAGUCAACAAAGUUUUUUCAAAAGUCAUAUUUAAUUCGCAAAAUAUCAAGUUUGUUAAUUCAUAAAACUAACCGUUAUCGUUAAGCCACGGAUAACCCACACCACCAGAGCAAAAAGCCAUGGCUAACCCAAAUAUAUCACACCCCACCGCAACCACCAUGGAGCAAGAGGUCCAGAGCGGCUUCGGCUACAAAAAGCUGGACUUCCUCUCUAGAAUUUAAUACUCCGAUCGCCGGGAAACCAAAGACGAAUACUAACAGUAACAGUGUAGAGAAGAGAGAGCUCGUUGAGAUCGUCGGUGUUUACAAGGGACAGCAUCAUAGUCGAUAGCGCGUAGACGCAUGCGCUGCCAAUAGAACUCUACAAUGGCGAACCGGACCACGACCUCGGAACAACAUAUUCGGCUCCUCUCAGUUAAAAGCCCUCUCUGGGCAUCUGUGAGUAUUAGAUCCAACGGUAGGAAGAGCUGCCACAUCAUCAUCCUGAAGCAAUACCCAAAACGCAUUCAUCUUCAAACGUUAUUCACGAUUUCUCCUUAAUUUCCCUCAUCUUUUUUUACUUUCAAAUUUUCCCUCCUUACAAAUAUUCUCAAAUUGUUCCCUUCAUUUGAUUUUCCUCCCCAACUCACAAUUUCUGUCGGUCCGAAGAUCUUAAUAUUUGUCUCCAAAACCCUCCUCAAGCUUUUAGAGAAUUUCAUACCUAUCAUAGAUCCAGAACCUCUUUGCCCUUUCUCUGUGUAGUGGAUCAAUUGCUUGACCUUUGUUGAGAGCGAAUUAGCCUAGAAGUUCCACUAAAGAAUCGUUAUUUUGACGGUAUGUUUAUUUUUCUCUUUCAAAACCCUUUACUCUUAAAUGGGACAAUGAAUUCAGAUUUAUUUCCAAAUUUUAGAUGAUGUUCUGUUUUUUUUUUUUUUUUUUUUUUCCCUCGGUUGGAGUGAAAUAAUGGAGGUUGUGUUUCAUUAUUUUACAUCUAAAAUAUUUUAUGUUGAAUUACACAAAUUUAAUUUUUAGGGUUUUAUGUGAAAUUACACUAAUUUAAUCUAAAAUAUUUUAUGUGUUUCAGCCCUUUUUAUUUUAUUUUUAUGAUUCAUAGAUUAAAUUUUACAUCGCUCCUAAUGUUUCUGAGAUAAAUUAUUUUAACAAUUUCUUGUUACAUUAUGCUAUCUGUAAAUAAAUUAUAUAACUAUGUUUUGUAUCAUAAUUUGAAGUAACUGAAUAAAGAGGAGAAUCUUAAAAGAACAAAAAAAACGGAAGAAAAAAAACAGAAGAGGUCUUAAGGCUUAAACUUUUUCCAUUCACCUUUAAAGACAAAAAAAAAAUUUUAAUUGAGAUUUUAAGUAGUGGGAGAGACUGCCUUCUUACUAACCUUUCUGAUUGUCUAAUAUCAAGCAUGUUAAUUUAAUAAAAGUCUAAUAUUAUACUUGCACGAGAGAAAAAAAAAAAAUUAUACACAUUUAGAAUUAUUCCAAAUUUUUUUUAUACAGUUUAGUUGCUGAUUUGAUACUUCCACAAUGGAUAAGAGUGAAGCUGAUUGGAAACCUAAGUAUGGAAUGGAGUUUGAUUAUGAAGAAAAGACUUUUGAAUUUUAUAACGAGUAUGGCAUAGAGUUGGAUUCAGCGUGAGAAAAGAUCAUGCCAACAAAAUUCUGUCAUAGGAGAAGUUAUGUUACGAUUGUAUGUUUGUUGUAAGGAAGGUUUUCGAAGGAAAGACAAACGAGACUAUUUGACAAAGAAUCCUAGAGUUGAGGCUAGGAUGGGUAAUGGUGCUUUGAUGAACAUUAAACUAAACAGAAGUAAUGGAAAAUUUUGGGUUAAUAAAUUUGUGGAACAACAUAAUCAUUCAUUGGUUAUGGAAGCUUGUGUUCAUAUGAUGCCAUUACAACGCAAACUUUCUACAACUCAAGCAAUUAAAGUGGACUUGGCAGAUGAGUCUGGUAUUCCUUUGUGAUCUGCAUAUGAGUAAUUGGGAAGGCAUGUUGGCGGAAGGGAAUAUCUUGGGUACACUAAACGAGAUCAAAAGAAUUAUAUACGAUCUAAACGACAACGAGAUUUGGCAUAUGGAGAGGCAGGAAGCCUGUUAAAGUACUUCCAGAAACAAUGUUUAGAAAAUCCCUCAUUCUUUUAUGCGGUGCAAUUAGAUAAAGAUGAGCAAAUAACGAAUAAAUGUUGGGCGGAUGCGAGAAUGAUUAUUGAUUAUGGUCAAUUUGGAGAUGUCGUGAGUUUUGAUACAACAUAUAAACUAAAUCAAGCCAACCGACCAUUUGCACCAUUUGCCAGGUUUAAUCAUCAUCGUGAAACUGUUAUUUUCGGAGCAGCACUAAUGUAUGAUGAAACCAUUGACUCGUUUAUUUGGUUGUUCGAAACAUUCUUGGAGGCAAUGUCUAACAAGAAGUCGAAAACUAUUUUUACAGAUCAAGAUGUAGCAAUGGCAAAGGCUUUAACACUUGUGAUGCCAGAAACAUGCCAUCAACUUUGUACAUGACUUAUCGUGCAAAAUGCUGUGAAGCAUUUAAGUAGCCUUUUUAGAACUUCAAAUGGAAUUAAAGCUGUGUUGACAAAGUUAAUGGAUGACUACGAGGAAGAAAAUGAGUUUACUAAUGCAUGGGACAACAUUCGAUCUAAGUAUAAUGUCCGUGAGAAUACUUGGUUGCAUAAAUUGUUUGAAUUAAGAACCAAAUGGGCAAAGGCAUACUUGAAAGGGGAAUGGUUUGUGGUAUGAGGAGCACACAACAAAGUGAAAGCCUAAAUGCUAGUCUAAAGGACUACUUAAAAUCUGACCAUGAUUUGCCAUAAUUUUUUAAGCAUUUUGAGAGAAUGCUUCAUAACAAGCGCUAUAAAGAGUUAGAAGCUGAGUAUGGGUUAUGUUACAAGUUGCCUAAAAUAAAGAUGCACUUGAAGAUGCUAGUGCAUGCUGGUAUUAUAUACACUAAUGCCAUAUUUGAGGAGUUUCAGAGGCAAUAUGAAUUUUCAAUGGAGGCUGAUAUAAAGGGUUGCAAGGAGGAUGGUGAAAUUUAUAUAUAUACAGUUGAUGAUAACCAAGCUAGAGAGCGUCAAGUCAAAAGGUUCCCUAAUGAUUUUCUAUCAUGCAAUUGUGGACAAUUUGAGAUGAUGGGUGUGUUGUGAAGUCACAUAAUAAAGAUUCUUAGGGAAAUCGUGCAUAUUAAAGAAAUACCGAGUGCAUAUAUUUUGAAACGGUAGACAAGAGAUGCAAAAGUGGGAUUGGUCCAAGACAAUUGUGGACGUGACGUACAAGUGGAUAUUAAUUUAGAAAUGGCAUUUAGAUAUAGGAACUUAUGCUAUAUGUUUACUAAGAUAUCAUUUUUGGCAGUUGAAACUGAUGAAUCAUACAAAGUGGCUCUCCAACAUGCACACAAUUUAUGCAAGGUAGUUCAUGACAUUUAGAAGCUAAAUUUCAGUGGUAAACAAAAAGAAAAUAUUGAUCCAAACUCCUCUUUCAUUAUUUGCGGUGCAAAUGAAGAUGGGCAUCUCUUAAAUGUGUCAAACGGUAUACAUGCGAAGGGUUUGAAGAGAAGGGAGGCCUCUAGGGGAUGGCGAAGGUUCCAAUCACCAAUUGAAAAGGCUCUACGAAAAAAAAGGAAUUCUCUCACUCGACCAUCUCAGGGUGCUGAGAUACCUACUAAAUCAACAUUUUUGAAUGAAAAUACCAGCAACUCAUCAGUUAUGUGCCAUACGUUUAAUGGUUAGGAGUUACCUAAUGCUUAUGCAUCGAUGAGUGUUGAAUAUUCACAACCACAAAUAUUAAAUCAAUACUCCCAAGCUUCAAAUAGUCCACUGUGUCCUCAGGUAACAGUGAAUAAUUGUUAUAUUAAAGGAAAUACUCAUGAAUGAUUUAAUGAGAAAAUUUGGAAUAUUGUAUAGAUGAAUCAUACAGGACCUACUGGAGUUAUAAUUAACAACGGUUUUACUAGAGCAACAUCAUAUGGUGAUGGUGGGGUGAGUCUUAGUAUUUCAAUUUUUUAUUUUUAUUCUUAUUUUUUUGCAUUUUAGGUGUAAAUAUACAAAUGUGCUUCGGCUGGUAAAGUAACAAACUAACCAUGUUUUUUCCUUGCUUGAGUAGACCAUCAACUAAAAUGUGAAUUGUGAUGGCAGUUACAUUCAUGUUGAAAGAUAAGAUAAUCCAAUAUUGUAAUUAUGUAAUGGUACUGCUAUUUAGUUUUUCUUUUUCUGAUUUUUUGUUCUUCUCGUGUGUUUUUGUAGUGAAGCUGCUCCUCUUUUGCUUUUGGAAAUUGUUGAUGCUCUAAAGUGUUUGAAGUUGCUGAUUUGUUAUCUAGAUCUUGGUUGCUGUAGUAGCUGUGUUUCGUUGAUGCAACAAAAGUCUUUAAAGUUGCUGCUCUUAGCUUUUGGCUGUUGGUCUGGACAAUUUUUUUUCCAUUGUUUGAAUUACAAUCUUGCAAUGUCAUAGAAGAUUUUAAUGUUUUCAAUGUACUAGAGACAACCAUGUAGUUACAUAAAUUUUUUUAAAUCACUUUGUUUCGUUGUUUAUGAAUUUGAC